rnacentral:rRNA from 1 species
GAUGAACGCUGGCGGCGUGCCUAAUACAUGCAAGUCGAGCGAACAGACGAGGAGCUUGCUCCUCUGACGUUAGCGGCGGACGGGUGAGUAACACGUGGAUAACCUACCUAUAAGACUGGGAUAACUUCGGGAAGCCGGAGCUAAUACCGGAUAAUAUAUUGAACCGCAUGGUUCAAUAGUGAAAGACGGUUUUGCUGUCACUUAUAGAUGGAUCCGCGCCGCAUUAGCUAGUUGGUAAGGUAACGGCUUACCAAGGCGACGAUGCGUAGCCGACCUGAGAGGGUGAUCGGCCACACUGGAACUGAGACACGGUCCAGACUCCUACGGGAGGCAGCAGUAGGGAAUCUUCCGCAAUGGGCGAAAGCCUGACGGAGCAACGCCGCGUGAUGAUGAAGGUCUUCGGAUCGUAAAACUCUGUUAUUAGGGAAGAACAAAUGUGUAAGUAACUAUGCACGUCUUGACGGUACCUAAUCAGAAAGCCACGGCUAACUACGUG